AGAAAUUUAGGUUAAAUAGACCAAAGGCCUUCAAAGCCUUAAGCGGAGGUUAGACCCCUUCAAUUUCUG
rnacentral:tRNA from 1 species